UUAAGUUAUAUGGGUGUGGGGUUCUGGACAGAGAUCUGGACUACACACAGGCCAGGGGACCCUGGCAGGGAGGGGCAUGGGUGCCAGCUUCGCACAGCCUCUGUCCUGCUUCCCAGUAGAGAUGGAAGAGGGAAGUUGUGACCAGCUAGAGGGGAAGGACGAGGAAGAGGGAAGGAGAAGUGGUAGGCCUCAUAUCAUGAAGGGAACUCACGUCCCUUAUUUCACAUUCCCCAUCUCCUCUCUGAGGUGAUUUCCCGGGGAGAAAAGUAAAAGCUGAGGGCGUGGCCUGAGUAUGGGGCAUGAGGGAGAGAGCUUCAGGCAUUCUGCCUGUGUCCUCGCAUGAGCAGCCAGGCAGUAGAGGGGUGGAGGGUAAGAGGAACAAGUUACCCCAUCCACCCUUGGCUGCUUCCUGGCAGGCCCAGCAGUGAGAAAGCUUGGGGAUGGAGAAAGCAGGAUACCACUAGGCCAACCCCAGUACUGAAGAGCUAAGAGACCACCCCCAUCCUAGGUAACCCCAUGAAUCAAUGAGUCUAGAAAGGUUUCAGCAAGAGCAGCUGAAGAGCUGUGAAUAACACGUGGCCAAUGAGAACUUCAAAAGGAAAUCGUAAGUAAAGCUAUGAUAAUAAUGAUGAUGAUGACGCCCUUGUCUUAAGAGCUUUCUAAAUGCCAGGUAGCCUGCAGAGCACUUUCUUUUAUUCCACUCUAACCAGGUGACUAGAGCAAUCUACUCUUUCUAAGAUACAGAUCCAAUAACAUUCGUUGUGCCAUGUGACAAGGAUGUUAUGAUCCCCGUCUGGCAGAUUUUUAGGUCACACCAUGACUAAGUUCUGUCUACUGAGAGGAACCAGCCUCCUACUCCAGCCCCAGCAGGCACAGCCCAAAAAUUGGCGUUCAGAAUAAGGGAAGUGGUUUCUGAGGCUUCAAGCUGAACAGGAGCUUGCUGGCUAGCUCUGCGGACGGGCAGGACUUCUUCCCCAAGGGGCUGGCACAAGUCAGACCAUGCCUGCCACCAUUUUGAGCACCUUGGUCAGAGAGGACAGCCCCACCCCCACCCCAGGCCUCCACCCUUCCAGGAUGCCCCGUCCACCUGCUGCGUCUGGCUCCAGCCUGGCCAGCUCCACUCUCCCCUCCUACAAAACUUGGACUCUCACUGAGAGCUACUGAGCCUGGGAAGAUCAAGACGCACCCCUUUCACGAACCCACAGGUGGGUGAGCACACACAUGUCUACACACACAUGCGCGUGCACAGGCGAGAACAGUCAACCCCCACCCACUGAUUGUAAGGUGACUGACUCAUCCCGAUGUUCCCAGGACUUUCCUGUUUUUAGCACUUAAAAUCCUGCACUCCAGGAACCCUCUCUGCCCCUGGCAAAUGGGGAUGAUUGGUCACCCUAGCACUGAGGUGGUUGGGUCAUUCUUCAUGGACAGUGGAGGGCAUGGUGGUUUUCAGGAUGGACUUCUGUGUUGCCAGUGCUGAACACAGGGCCUGGCACAUGGUGGGUUUGUCACAGCUUUGCCACUUACCAGCCAUGGAAAAUCACUUUACCUCUCGGUGUCCUCAAGAGGAUGGGAUAAUAUCUUUCUCAUACAGGUACAUACACUAAUAAAAGUCAAAGUGCCACCUGAGUGUUAUAUAAAUGAGAGCCACUAUUACUGUUGUUGUUUUUGUUAUUGUAAUUAUAUAUGUGCAUGGAAGAAAAGUUUCUAGGUUUUUCCAUUUGUGAAACAAAAACAGUGGGAGGUAUAGGGCUACAAAAGCCACCCCUCUCCUAAGACUGUUCUUAGCAAGAACCCCCUCCUCACUUAAAAAAAGAAAAUAGCUUUAUUUUGAUAAAAUUCAUAAACUGCACAAUUUACCCACUUUAAGCAUUCAAUUCAGUGUUUUUUAGUAUAUUCAUAAGGUUGUGCACGCCUUACCACAAUCUAAGCUUAGGAUAUAUUCAUCCCCCUCUAAAAGAAGCCUCACACCCAUGAGCAGUCAUUCCCAAUUUCCCUCUUACCCUCAAGUCCUGCCCAGCCCAAGGCAACCACUAUUUUCUGUCUCUAUUAAUCUAUUAGAUUUGCCUAUUCUGGAAAUUUCAUACAGUGGAAUCAUAUAAUAUGUGGUCUUUUGUGUCUGGCUUCUUUCACUUAGCCUGAUGUUCUCAAGGUUCGUCCAUGCUAUAGUAGGGAUCAGAACUUCAUCCCUUUGCUUUGCCAACCUCCACUCCACUUCAAUCCAUUUUAGAUCUAUCCAGAAAGGGUUCAGUGCUCAACAGAGUCACAACAAGUUGGCACUUGUGGAGGGAGAGACCAAAUAAUUUUUUAUUUUUGCUAUGUCUAUUUCUUUUACUCCUUGUGUCUUAAAUUUUCUUUUGCCCUUAUUGCUUUUUCUUUAUCUUUUAAAGUUACAACAUGUGAAAUACAAAAAGAUAUGUUAGUUAUCAAGCAUAAUAAUAUAAUGAAUAAUUGUGAACUCACCCCUCACCCCAAAUUUCCUUCUCCAGAGAAAUACUGUUGGAGAAUGAGGAUAUAAGGUCCUAUCAAGCUUCCCAGCUUCCUUCUCAAUUUUUAACAGUUAUGUAUAAUAUUAUUCAUAUUUUCGUUUUGUUCUGUAACUGUAAGUCUUUUGUGCUUUGUCUGGAGGUUGAGUCUAAAAACUGAAUAGCAAAAAACAGCGUCACCUUUUCGUAAAUAUCACUCACAUGAGAAUUCUUGGCCCCUAAGAGAAGGAAAUGUGAACACAGUUCCCAAUCUUAAGAAGCUCAACGUCAAAUUUUUUAGAGACAGCAGAAAAUGAAAGGAUCCUCCCAGACCAACUGAGUCAUUUUACAGACGGGAAACUGAGAUUUAGGGAAGGAAAGAGAUUUCGCUUGAAGUCAUGAGGUCAACCCCCCACACUGUGCUCCAGCCACCUCCUGGAAUUUGAUAAAUAAGUUGUGUUAAAAUUUGAUAAAAAUAUCCUUUUUAAAGGGAAAUCAAACUGUGAAGGCUUCACAUUAAGGAUUCAAGGGCAUAAACUAAGAAAAUAAAACAAUAUUUUAAUUAUAAAAAGCAAAAGCCCUUUGUUUCCAAGUAUCUUUGACUUGGGGGAGUGAUUUCAUUGGCUGUUGAGCCUGGAGAGGGUUGGUCUUGUCAAACUUGGAGGUAAGCUUUCUCUCUCCUUCCGAUGUAUAAAGGUGUAUAAAGGGUCCGUGGCUCUGAGAGGAGGUGUGCGACCUUCACAGCUCACAGGUGUGAGACAGGAAGCAACAAGUCUUGGGGCCUCAACAGGUAUUCUGCAGCACCUUAUCUGUCUUUAUUGAGUCACCAGGUACAAAGGUACCUGUGCAGAGAGGGCACCAAGUCAGCCGAGGAACUCCCUGGCAGCAGGCUCCUCCUCUCUCUCUGGGCUUAGGAGAGGGGGAGUUAGGCCAGAGGGAGCCUGCUGCUGCCCAUGGACUCCGCUCAGGGAAAGCCCUAGCCCCUGAGCAUCAUGAAAUGUGAAAAUAAUAAUAGUUAAUGUUUAUUUAGCACUUCCUGUCUGUCACAUUUACUUAGGUUAUUUCACCUAACUCCGGAAGAUAUCCAAUAAAGUAGGUGCUAUUAUUAUCCUCAUUUGUACAGAUGAGGAAAUUGAGGUCCAAGAAGGUUUAAGUGACUCGUCCAAAGGCUUAGAACUAGCAGGUGGAGAGCAGCAUUCAGACCCAGGCCGUGAGGCACCGCCAUCCAUGCUGGGAACCAUUUUAUCAUACUGGUCUUGGACCCUGAGUGCCAGCUUCAAUCCUACGUCUGCUAUGACCUGGCUGUUUGUCUCUCUGAGCCUCAGUUCCCUCCCCUGGAAGAUGGAGAAGCGCACCUUCUGCUCUGUAGGCUGGAGGACCAAAUGGUUCAGCCCAGGGCCUGGCCCUCUGGUUCCAGCCCUCGUCGUCACCCCACCCCACCCCUCGCUUCACUGGAAGCUGCAGCAUGGCUGAACAAUAGUAGCUCAGGCUGUGCUCUUGCUACCUUCUCUUGGCUGCCGUGAGGUCUGCAAUUUCAGGUCAAGUGGACAGGCCACUUCUUGCUAAAUGAAGCAGUUUGCCUCUCAGUUCAAAUGGCAUCUGGAAAUAAAAGCCUGCCCUGACCUUAGCAGUACAACAUGGAGACUAAGCGUCUUUGGAGGCCAGUGGCCCUGGGUUCAGAUUCCCAUUCUGUCACUUUUACUGUGUAACCCUGGACAAAUCUCUUUACCUCUCUGAGCCCCUGCUUCCAAAUCUGUAAAAUGGAUGUAGUAAUAGCACUCAAAGGGCUAUAUGAGGACUGGUGGGAAGCCAUAUAGAGUAUGGUGAGCUCCAAUAAAUGGUAGCUAUCAUUUUUAUUACACUGUAUAUUGCAAUUACUGGCAUUUAGCACAA